GAAUGGCCAUUUUGAGUCACUUGGUGACAUGAUGAUUCGAGGUAUGUAUACCUUGUCGCCGACGUGUGUUCCUGUGAUUAUUUGUGUCUCGAUGUAUUUGUUUCCAAGUUGUGUAAUUGUCAUUCUUGUACCAUUGCAUAAACCUGCUGCUUGGUUGAUGUUGCGUAGUAGCAUUACCGGCAAACCCAUCUUCAGUGUUAACUUAUGGUCUGGGAUUCCUGGGGAUGUCAAGGUGUUGAGGAACUCAGUAGGCUGCAUGUUCAUCAUGAUGUUGGUGUUUGUCGUAGCCUUGCACACUCUGUCCAGGCUUAGGUAAUCCCGCUCACGGUAUUUUUGCAGUAAGUUUGGGUAUAUGCUUUUGACGAUUUGUUCCUUACGAUUUUCUCCUUUCUCUAGCAGUAGGUCCUUUGGUAUUUUUAUCCAAUCCUCUCCUUCAUCUGAUGUUGUUUUCCCAUCGCCAAUCUGUAGUAUCCACUCUGCAAAUUCAGCUACUUUUUGCUUUUGUAUUGGAUCAUCCGACAAACACUUCAGCCGCAUGUUUUCUGUUAACUCAAAUAUUUCAAAGUGUUUCCACAGAUAUGACCUUUUGAUUGAAGCAUUAACUAUCUGCUCUCUCCUUCCUUUGGUUAUAACUGGCAGGAUUUGUCUGAAGUCGCCUCCUAGUAUAACUGUCAUUCCACCAAAUGGCUUUUCAUUGUUGUUUUCAUUAGUGAACCUGAGAAUAUCUCUAAGGCUUUUGUCUAGUGCCUCAAAGCAAUUCAGCCAAAUGCGACCCUUGAUUUAUUUCACACGUUGAUUCUUCAGUGAUAUUAAGUGGAAUGCGGAACCUUGAGUGUGCCGUUCUCCCACCUUGGAGAAGCAACGCUGCAAU